rnacentral:rRNA from 1 species
UACGUAGGUGGCAAGCGUUGUCCGGAUUUACUGGGCGUAAAGAGCGCGCAGGCGGUCGUAUAAGUCGAAUGUGAAAGCCCCCGGCUCAACUGGGGAGGGUCAUUCGAUACUGUUCGACUCGAAGGUAGGAGAGGGAAGUGGAAUUCCGGGUGUAGUGGUGAAAUGCGUAGAUAUCCGGAGGAACACCAGUGGCGAAGGCGACUUUCUGGCCUGUUCUUGACGCUGAGGCGCGAAAGCUAGGGGAGCAAACGGG